rnacentral:tRNA from 1 species
GUUUUGCAAGUUUUCUAUAAAUAUCAAUCUUGUAAAUUGAAGAACAAGGUUUAAACCCUUGGCAAAACU